GAGAGAUGUUUUCUGGCAGCUGAAAAGAUGACGUUAGAGUUUGCUUUGCUGUUUUGAAAUGCUUCUUAUGUAGAAGGUUCAUUAUCAUUGCACCGAGUUUGCAGCAAAAAAUUGGGACUUGGGAUGACAUCAUUUGGGGUGAUGUCAUAUCUGGAGAUACUUUUUGGCCUUGUUCUUUGGUUCCAUCUUUUGGAGAGGUCGUCGCAGAAGACUGCUGUUGAUACAGAGAGAUUCAUCUUUUGAGCCGAGCUUGAACUUUGGUGCUCUUGCCACAACCGGACAUCGAUUGUAGCCUGAAGUGCUCGCCCCUUCUCCUGUGAGGUCCAGAAGCCAUUGCUUUCUAUUGUUAACGAGACCAAGUUCUGCUCUCUUUCUUGAGCAGGGCACUCAGCGACACACAGCUCUGCACAGUGGAUUUUUUAAAAAUACCAUCUUGUAUUGUGAAACCCACUCUCCGGUAUAACAAGUAUAGCACUUUAAAUUUUCUGGUGGACCGGUGGAUCUUCUUAAAUUUUUCUUCAGAAGUGGCUGAUAGUGACUUCCACCCAUAUUUCUUUAGCCCAAGCAACUCCUCAGAUUCUGCUUUAUUUCAGACAAAGAAGGAAAUUAUAUCCACACUGUAUUCUCUGAAGAGGAGAUCUAGAAACUGUCCUGUACACCUCCCCAGCGCUGAUACACUUCCAAGACAUACACAAAUUGGAGAGCUUUUCGUGCAGACUGUUGACAGCCUCUAAUCUUAUGGGAUUAUAUUUAAAACCGAUCUGAGAUGACAAAUACAAUGAGGUUAAUCAGGGAGAUGAUUCAAACUCAGUAAAAUGUGCAGAUUGCCAGGUCUGUCCAUUGGGAGCAUAAAGAUCCUAAUGAAG